GUGGGGAAUAUUGGACAAUGGGCGAAAGCCUGAUCCAGCCAUGCCGCGUGUGUGAAGAAGGUCUUCGGAUUGUAAAGCACUUUAAGUUGGGAGGAAGGGCAGUAAGUUAAUACCUUGCUGUUUUGACGUUACCGACAGAAUAAGCACCGGCUAACUUCGUGCCAGCAGCCGCGGUAAUACGAAGGGUGCAAGCGUUAAUCGGAAUUACUGGGCGUAAAGCGCGCGUCGGUGGUUUUGUAAGUUGGAGGUGAAAUCCCCGGGCUCAAACUGGGAACUGCCUCCAAAACUGCAUGACUAGAGUACGGUAGAGGGGAGUGGAAUUUCCUGUGUAGCGGUGAAAUGCGUAGAUAUAGGAAGGAACACCAGUGGCGAAGGCGACUACCUGGACUGAUACUGACACUGAGGUGCGAAAGCGUGGGGAGCAAACAGGAUUAGAUACCCCGGUAGUCC
rnacentral:rRNA from 1 species